rnacentral:rRNA from 1 species
GACGAACGCUGGCGGCGUGCCUAAUACAUGCAAGUUGAGCGCUGAAGGUUGGUACUUGUACCAACUGGAUGAGCAGCGAACGGGUGAGUAACGCGUGGGGAAUCUGCCUUUGAGCGGGGGACAACAUUUGGAAACGAAUGCUAAUACCGCAUAAAAACUUUAAACACAAGUUUUAAGUUUGAAAGAUGCAAUUGCAUCACUCAAAGAUGAUCCCGCGUUGUAUUAGCUAGUUGGUGAGGUAAAGGCUCACCAAGGCGAUGAUACAUAGCCGACCUGAGAGGGUGAUCGGCCACAUUGGGACUGAGACACGGCCCAAACUCCUACGGGAGGCAGCAGUAGGGAAUCUUCGGCAAUGGACGAAAGUCUGAACGAGCAACGCCGCGGGAGGGAAGAAGGGUUUCGGAUCGUAAAACUCGGUUGGUAGAGAAGAACGUUGGUGAGAGUGGAAAGCUCAUCAAGUGACGGUAACUACCCAGAAAGGGACGGCUAACUACGUG